CACAAAUUAAAAUAUGAAGGCUUCGGCUGGAUUAUUUUUAUCACCCUUGUCUUUUGCGCACUUGUUGUUUCCUGGGCGGGUUCGCCCGCCACCAGGACCACACCAUAAACCUCUUUUAUGCAGUUGCAAUCAGCGUCAGUAUAACAAAUGUAAAUCAUUUA
rnacentral:misc_RNA from 1 species